AUCUAGUUGACGAGUCGCAAAUAGGAUGAAACUUGCGUUCUAUAU
rnacentral:hammerhead_ribozyme from 1 species